AGUGAUUAAAUGUUUGGCUGCUAAUCAAAAGGUCGGUGGUUUGAACCCACCAGCCACUC
rnacentral:tRNA from 1 species